rnacentral:rRNA from 1 species
GGGGGCUCGAGUGGAUCCUCGGGGCCAACCUCCCACCCGUGUUGCCCGAACCUAUGUUGCCUCGGCGGGCCCCGCGCCCGCCGACGGCCCCCCUGAACGCUGUCUGAAGUUGCAGUCUGAGACCUAUAACGAAAUUAGUUAAAACUUUCAACAACGGAUCUCUUGGUUCCGGCAUCGAUGAAGAACGCAGCGAAAUGCGAUAACUAAUGUGAAUUGCAGAAUUCAGUGAAUCAUCGAGUCUUUGAACGCACAUUGCGCCCUCUGGUAUUCCGGAGGGCAUGCCUGUCCGAGCGUCAUUGCUGCCCUCAAGCCCGGCUUGUGUGUUGGGCCCCGUCCCCCCCGCCGGGGGGACGGGCCCGAAAGGCAGCGGCGGCACCGCGUCCGGUCCUCGAGCGUAUGGGGCUUCGUCACCCGCUCUAGUAGGCCCGGCCGGCGCCAGCCGACCCCCAACCUUUAAUUAUCUCAGGUUGACCUCGGAUCAGGUAGGGAUACCCGCUGAACUUAAGCAUAUCAAAAACGGAGAGGU